rnacentral:rRNA from 1 species
AUUGAACGCUGGCGGAAUGCUUUACACAUGCAAGUCGAGCGGCAGCGCGGGGGCAACCCUGGCGGCGAGCGGCGAACGGGUGAGUAACAUAUCGGAACGUACCCUGUCGUGGGGGAUAACUAUCCGAAAGGAUAGCUAAUACCGCAUACGACCUGAGGGUGAAAGCGGGGGACCGCAAGGCCUCGCGCGAUAGGAGCGGCCGAUAUCGGAUUAGCUAGUUGGUGAGGUAAAGGCUCACCAAGGCGACGAUCCGUAGCGGGUCUGAGAGGACGACCCGCCACACUGGAACUGAGACACGGUCCAGACUCCUACGGGAGGCAGCAGUGGGGAAUUUUGGACAAUGGGGGCAACCCUGAUCCAGCCAUUCCGCGUGAGUGAAGAAGGCCUCGGUUGUAAGGACUCUUUCUAGCAGGAACGAAACGGUAGAGGGUUAAGUACC